ACCUAAACCGGAUGGAAACGGCAGCUCCCGAUUGAAAACCGGGACUAAAGUGUACAGCCGGACUAACG
rnacentral:sRNA from 1 species